rnacentral:lncRNA from 1 species
GUGGAGUAGAAUAGCUCUCUGUCUCGAUAAUCUGAGAGGAGCUCGGAUGUUUUCGAGGUCGGUGAUGGGUUAACCAUUGCUGGGGGCCAUAGGCGCUGAUGUGGUAGACGGGAGUCAUCUGUUGUAGAAGCUCGGACGGAAACUUUCCGUUGGAGAAAUCCGCCUGGAGUUCGAUUGCUAGAAAAAUUCGUCUGGAAUUUGUCUG